ensembl:snRNA U6 U6 spliceosomal RNA
GUGCUUGCUUCGGCAGCACAUAUACUAACUAAAAUUGGGAUGAUACAGAGAAGAUUAGCAUGGCCCCUGCACAAGGAUAUGCAAAUUCAUGAAGCGUUCCAUAUUUUG